UGCAAUGCUUCAGUACAUCUGUGGUCAGACCAUUGCCAAGCCUGUGAGGCCUCCUGUUCAGGUAUACAGUAUUGAAGGUUGCUAUCCAUGGCUCUUCAUUCUGCUGCAUCGAAACAGAAUAAGCUGGAGCAAGUAGAAAAGGAGCUGUUGAGAAUAGCACAAAUCCUGAAGGAACCCAAAGUGGCUGCUUCUAUUUUGAAUCCCUAUGUGAAGCGUUCCUUUAAAGUGAAAAGCCUAAAUGACAUCACAGCCAAAGAGACGUUCUCUUCCCUCAAGACCCCGAUCAAUUUGCUUGCUGAACAUAGUCACUGAAGCAAUACCCAAAGAGUCGUUUCUGCCUUUUCUACCAUGAUGAGUGUCCACCGUGGAGAGGUACCUUGCACAGCGGCCACUGCAUCUCCUUUAGAGGAAGCCACACUCUCUGAAUUAGAGAAUUCUAAUUCUCUAAUUCUAAAUCUCUUCAGGAGAUUCCUCAGUCAAGGCCAAGUAUUGAAAUUGGAGGGUAAGACUGAUCUGUCAAUCAUAGGUGGAAUGAUUGUGCGCAUUGGAAAGAAAUGUUGACAUGUCUGCCAAGACCAAGAUUCAGAAGGUGAGCAGGGCUAUGCAAGAUGUUGUCUAA